UGCUGAUAGACUCUCAGCUACUUAAUGGUAUCUGCUUUCUUCCUGUUCCUCUCGUCACUUGUUGCGUCACUGUGAGUGAGAGAGGGUGUGAUGGUCUUCUUUUCUGUUCUUUCAGAUCAUCAUUUCACUCUUUCAGAGUAACACUGCACAGAUCUGAUCACAGAGACUCUAUAAAAACUCUGAGGUUGUUUGCACUUGAGUGAUUGCAGAGAGCUGAGACCACAGUAUCAAUACAGAUAAAAGAAACGACUGAUUCAGUGACUGAGUAAAAAGAAUGGCUCAUAUCUUGUUCUCCCGCUCUGCAUAUCCUCGGUAUGAUAUUCAACAAGAGCGUCUGGAUGGUAAGAUCAGACUGUCCAUCUUCCUCAUUGCUGGAGAGUGUGGGGGUCUGCCAGCUCUAGUUUGGGCUCUGUGUGUUCUGUAUGGUCAUCAUAAGAGUGGAGGCCGAAUCUCAGCCUUGGUCAUCAUGCUUCUUCUCUGUGACCUGCUGGUGCUGCUUCUGAAUCCAUACAUAGUGACUAAACUGCUGCAGGAUGAUCAUUGUUGGGAGACGAGCACAACAUGCAGGAUAUUUACCUCUUUAUGGUCAGGAUCAAUGAUCUGUGGACUUCACCUCCAACAAGUGGUGGCUCUAGAGGGCGCUCUCUCUUUGAGACGUCCACUCUGCUCUGCU